rnacentral:rRNA from 1 species
CUACGUGCCAGCAGCCGCGGUAAUACGGAAGGUUCGGGCGUUAUCCGGAUUUAUUGGGUUUAAAGGGAGCGUAGGCCGGAGAUUAAGUGUGUUGUGAAAUGUAGACGCUCAACGUCUGACUUGCAGCGCAUACUGGUUUCCUUGAGUACGCACAACGUUGGCGGAAUUCGUCGUGUAGCGGUGAAAUGCUUAGAUAUGACGAAGAACUCCGAUUGCGAAGGCAGCUGACGGGAGCGCCACUGACGCUUAAGCUCGAAGGUGCGGGUAUCGAACAGGAUUAGAUACCCUGGUAGUCCGCACAGUAAACGAUGGAUGCCCGCUGUUGGUACCUGGUAUCAGCGGCUAAGCGAAAGCAUUAAGCAUCCCACCUGGGGAGUACGCCGGCAACGGUGAAACUCAAAGGAAUUGACGGGGGCCCGCACAAGCGGUGGAGUAUGUGGUUUAAUUCGACGCAACGCGAAGAACCUUACCAGGUCUUGACAU